rnacentral:lncRNA from 10 species
UUUUGCACAGCUUUACCAAGAAACCAAGAGACAUAUGUCACCCAGCCAUGUCAUGUUAAUGUAGCAACCAAGAAAGAAGAAGAGGCAAAAAAGGUGUACCUGGUGAAGUAAAGGACUGAGGACAAUCAAAUCCUUCAUCAUCUAGAACGCAGAGAUUUUGUCUUCUGGAAAUUACGUUAGAGAAAGACUGCCCUUGCCACCCACCCUGCAGCCAAAUUUUGGAAUCUUGGACGUUGGGUUCCUAAUUUCACAACCAGAAGGGUCCCUGUAGACUCUUGGAACUGCAUACACAUUGAAAACCUUAAGAGCUGUAAAAGGGGACUUGAGUGCAGCUAUGGAGUAUAUUUUAUUUGUGGAGGAUUUCACAGCCAACCUUACGCCUUAUGCAUGAGCAAACUUAUGCCUUGAAAGAAGGAAGAUAAAGGACCAAUGUGGGAUGCCAACCACUUCUGGGAAAGCUGAGUGAUGAUUCUGUGCACAGUUGAAGUUCACCUGGGCCAGUGUUGAUUGACUGCUAUUUGAAAACACAACGGUGUUGAAAUGCUACAAAAGAGAUACACCUUAUCUUGGACAGAGGUGGCAUCCAUUUUGGAAGGGGUGGCAGGUUUCACAGAUGGACACUGAAAGAGCUAUUAAAGCUUUACUUUUCCUGUUUAAAUAUAUCUUUAGCAACUGAGGAUGCCUCUGUCCUUAGGACAUGUCCCUUUUAGAAACCGCUUUUGACUUUUGAUAGUAUUCUCAUGAUUCCAGCCCCACCCCCAUCCUGGGAAUGUCAGUAUAUUUUUUACAAAAUACUUUGAAACAAAAUGAUGAAAUAGAGCAUUCCUCAUAAUUGUUGAAGCUAUUUAGCAUAGAAUUUUCACACUGUGAUUAGAAAUUCACAAGAAAGUGAGGUGCUAAUAACAGAGCAGGCAAAGAGCUCAUUGUUAGCAGUGAGUACAUCAUACUUAAAUGAAGUGACAAGCCUCUUCUUUUUGUCAGAAUUGUAUUUUUUCCAUAUGCUAACAAUUAGAUGACAUUGCUUUUGUGUUAAAUUUGCAGGAGGAUCCCACAUGGAACACAUACUUACGAGGUUUUAGCAUUUUCACCAUUACUCACAUUGUCUUACAUGUUUGAGGUGACUCAGUUCACAAUGCAAGCUCAUUUCUUAGUCUAGACUAGAAUUGCAGACAUUCAUUACAUAUAGGGACAUUGUUGUAACUUAAUAAAAUGAGCCAAAACAUUUAAAACUCUUUGACUCCAGAAAGAAAUAAAAAUUUUCACCAAAGCUCAAGAUACUGUAUCAGUUAAUGAAUAAUUCAAUCGAACUUAUUAAUAAAGUCACUUAACACUAAAUAACUUAGACUGAAUACAAUCUGGUUUUAAAUGAGGUUAAAAGUUUACAUUAAAGACUUAUUAAGGCUUACUGGCCUAUUGGUCUUCUAAUCUAGAUCUUUAGCUAAAAUUGAAUGUAGUAAAUUUCACUUUUUAAUUGGAAACCUUUGGGAGGUUGUAAGAUUUUAAUAAUCUUAAAUACAUUAUUUUUCAAUUUGGAAAUAAUUAACAGCAUUUGUCAUUCAUGAAAAUUUGUAUAUCAUUCAUAAUUUUAUUGCAAUUAAAUCCUCUCCUAGCA